rnacentral:lncRNA from 1 species
GGAAAAUAUCGAGAGGAACGGGGACCCCGAGAAGGGACCUAGUCUUACCUGGGCCCCGGUUGUCGGGAGCGUGGACUCCAUCUCGGGGUGGGGGUGGGGGAGGGGAAUGCUUUCCUCAAGUCGACACACUGACUUCGGGACAGAUCUGGGAGGAGAGAGAAUAAUCCCCCGAGGGGCCAAUUGGCUGCACUCCCAGGGCUCCCUCGCUUUUCCAACCCCUUUAAAACCUGAGCCGACCGCUCUUCGUGGCUCAGCCUCGGAGGGGCCGAUCCCGGGCCGGCCAGGUGCCACCUACCGCUGAGAGACUAACGAUCCUAGACAAUCUCCCGUACCCGGAGAGAAGAGCAGGAGAGGCCGACGCCCCACUGCCUCUCCAGACCUAGAGCCCGAGGCACUGCUAGAUUCCCACGCUCCUUUACGUGGGAGCUGCCGGGAAAGCCUCCGGAAACGGCACGCCCCCUUGCGUUUUCGAAACUCUGCCCUGUGAUUGGCCAUCGCUGCCUCCGAAGGGGCAGUCCUUCUCGUGUGUUGACCAAUCGAGCCCGCUAAGGGACAGCUCUCUCACGGAGCGUGCUGGGAAAUGUGGUUUUUCAUCCAUCUCUCGAAGCAAGUAUUUCCGGAUCCGCUUCCUGGGUCUCCGGGGUGAGCUCCUGCCCGCUUACCUGCAGGCAGGUAAGUGACUAGGUAGGGUGUGAAGAGAUAGGGUGAUCCCAGAGCGACGUAACGUUUCAGGGAAUAAAGAAAGCAAGACCGGGAGACUCCAGAACCCGAAAGACUGUCGGCCCUGAAAUGUGGGUUCGAGCGGCAGUGUCCCCUGUGGAUCCGAAACGUCGGUGCGGACCGGGUGAAGAAUGGAAGAUCCUUUGUAAAAUAAAUAGGGGCACCUGGGUGACCUCGAUGGCUCAGUCGGUUAAGUGUCUGACUCUUGAUUUCGGUUCAGGUUAUGAUCUCACAAGUCCUGAGAUGGAUCCCUGCGUCGGGCUCUGGCUGAUAGUGUGGAGCCUACUCGGGAUUCUCUUUCUCCCUUUCUCUGUCCCUCCCCUGCUCGGGAACAUGAGCUCUCCCUCAAAAUAAACUUAAAACUUUCUUAAAAUAAAUAAAAUACAAAAAUAAAAAGAGUUGUUAGCAACUCAUGACCCCUGAUCUGAACUUCAGCCUGUCUCACGGGCUCUCUUCCUGCU